rnacentral:pre_miRNA from 1 species
UUAACUCAAAUUUGUAUGAAGUUGGAACAACUACCCUUCGUUUGCCGCUAGGGGCGCUGUUCCAACUCCAUACAAAUUUGAGUUA